GUGCCAGCAGCCGCGGUAAUACGUAGGGUGCGAGCGUUAAUCGGAAUUACUGGGCGUAAAGCGUGCGCAGGCGGUUUUGUAAGACAGGUGUGAAAUCCCCGGGCUUAACCUGGGAACUGCGCUUGUGACUGCAAGACUCGAGUACGGCAGAGGGGGGUAGAAUUCCACGUGUAGCAGUGAAAUGCGUAGAGAUGUGGAGGAAUACCGAUGGCGAAGGCAGCCCCCUGGGUCGAUACUGACGCUCAUGCACGAAAGCGUGGGGAGCAAACAGGAUUAGAUACCCUGGUAGUCC
rnacentral:rRNA from 1 species